rnacentral:rRNA from 1 species
AGAACGAACGCUGGCGGCAGGCCUCAAACAUGCAAGUCUAGGGGGUGUAGCAAUACAUCACCGGCGGACGGGUGCGUAACACGUGGGAAUAUACCUUUUGGUUCGGAACAACGCAGGGAAACUUGCGCUAAUACCGAAUGUGCCCUUACGGGGAAAGAUUUAUCGCCAAAGGAUUAGCCCGCGUAGGAUUAGCUAGUUGGUGAGGUAAUGGCUCACCAAGGCUCCGAUCCUUAGCUGUUCUGAGAGGAAGAUCAGCCACACUGGGACUGAGACACGGCCCAGACUCCUACGGGAGGCAGCAGUUGGGAAUCUUGGACAAUGGGGGAAACCCUGAUCCAGCCAUGCCGCGUGAGUGAUGAAGGCCUUCGGGUUGUAAAACUCUUUCGACGGGGACGAUAAUGACGGUACCCGUAGAAGAAGCUCCGGCUAACUUCGUGUCCAGCAGCCGC